UACGUAGGUGACUAGCGUUGUCCGGAUUUACUGGGCGUAAAGAGCGCGCAGGCGGUCGUUCAAGUCGAGUGUGAAAGCCCCCGGCUCAACUGGGGAGGGUCACUCGAUACUGAUCGACUCGAAGGCAGGAGAGGGAAGCGGAAUUCCCAGUGUAGUGGUGAAAUGCGUAGAUAUCGGGAGGAACACCAGUGGCGAAGGCGGCUUCCUUGCCUGUUCUUGACGCUGAGGCGCGAAAGCUAGGGGAGCAAACGGG
rnacentral:rRNA from 1 species